rnacentral:lncRNA from 1 species
CGUUUUUGCAAGCAAGACCGGCCAGGCAUUGAACAGAGAAACCUAUUCCAGUUAUGACCCUGUGAAGAAUGACAGUUUCCACCCAUUUCAUCAUCAUCUUGGAAAUCAAGGUCUCAUGUGAAGGCCAUGUGUUUGACCCGUCGACACUGCUCCUGUUGCGCCAGGUC